AGUGGCGGACGGGUGAGUAACGCGUGGGAAUCUGCCUUGAGAUGGGGGAUAACGAGCCGAAAGGCUCGCUAAUACCGCAUAUGCCGAAAGGUGAAAGGAGUAAUCCGUCUUAAGAUGAGCCCGCGUCCGAUUAGCUAGUUGGUGGGGUAAAGGCCUACCAAGGCGACGAUCGGUAGCUGGUCUGAGAGGAUGAUCAGCCACAAUGGGACUGAGACACGGCCCAUACUCCUACGGGAGGCAGCAGUGGGGAAUUUUACGCAAUGGGGGAAACCCUGACGUAGCGACACCGCGCGAGCGAAGAAGCCCUUUGGGGUGUAAAGCUCUGUCAGCUGGAACGAAAAAAAUGACGGUACCAGCAGAGGAAGCAUCGGCUAACUACGUGCCAGCAGCCGCGGUAAGACGUAGGAUGCGAGCGUUGUCCGGAUUCAUUGGGCGUAAAGAGUUCGUAGGUGGUUUGUUAAGUCUGAUGUUAAAGAUCGGGGCUCAACCCUGAGACUGCAUUGGAUACUGGCAGACUUGAGUAUGGUAGAGGCUAGUGGAAUUCCCAGUGUAGCGGUGAAAUGCGUAGAUAUUGGGAAGAACACCGGUGGCGUAGGCGACUAGCUGGGCCAUAACUGACGCUGAGGAACGAAAGCCAGGGUAGCGAAUGGGAUUAGGUACCCCAGUAGUCCUGGCCGUAAACGAUGGAUACUAGGCGUAUCGGGUAUUGACCCCUGAUGUGCCGCAGCUAACGCGAUAAGUAUCCCGCCUGAGUAGUACGGGCCGCAAGGUUGAAACUCAAAGGAAU
rnacentral:rRNA from 1 species